rnacentral:rRNA from 1 species
GUAGCUAAGUGCGGAAGAGAUAAGUGCUGAAAGCAUCUAAGCACGAAACUUGCCCCGAGAUGAGUUCUCCCUGACCCUUUAAGGGUCCUGAAGGGACGUUGAAGACGACGACGUUGAUAGGCCGGGUGUGUAAGCGCAGCGAUGCGUUGAGCUAACCGGUACUAAUGACCCGUGAGGCUUAACCUU